AAGAGAUGGCGACCGGCGCACGGGUGAGUAACACGUAUCCGACCUGCCGAUAACUCCGGAAUAGCCUUUCGAAAGAAAGAUUAAUACCGGAUGGCAUACGAAUAUCGCAUGAUAUUUUUAUUAAAGAAUUUCGGUUAUCGAUGGGGAUGCGUUCCAUUAGUUUGUUGGCGGGGUAACGGCCCACCAAGACUACGAUGGAUAGGGGUUCUGAGAGGAAGGUCCCCCACAUUGGAACUGAGACACGGUCCAA
rnacentral:rRNA from 1 species